GCCGCUGGUCCACGCCUCUCCGGCUCGUCAUGGACGGUGAUAUCGCUGCGCUCGUCGUUGACAACGGCUCCGGCAUGUGCAAGGCCGGCUUCGGGGGCGACGACGCCCCCCGGGCCAUCUUCCCUUCCAUCGUGGGACGCCCGCGGCAUCAGGGUGUGAUGGUGGGCAUGGGCCAGAAGGACUCCUACGUGGGCGACGAGGCCCAGAGCGAGAGAGGCAUCCUGACCCUGAAGUACCCCAUCGAGCCCGGCAUCGUCACCAACUGGGACGCCAUGGGGAAGAUCUGGCACCACACCUUCUACAACAAGCCGCGUGUCGCCCCCGACGAGCACCCCGUGCUGCUGACCGAGGCUCCCCUGAACCCCAGCGCCAACCGGGAAAAGGGACCCAGAUCAUGUUCGAGACCUUCAACACCCCAGCCAUGUACGUGCCCAUCCAGGCUGUGCGGUCCCUGUACGCCUCUGGCAGCACCACUGGCAUCGGGAUGGACUCCGGGGACGGGGGACACCCACACCGUGCCCAUCUACGAGGGUACGCCCUCUCCCACGCCAUCCUGCGUGGGGGCCUGGCUGGCCGGGACCUGACAGACUACCCCAUGAAGAUUCUCACCGAGCGUGUCUGCAGCUUCCCCGCCACUGCCGAGCAGGACAUGGCGCUGACAUCAAGGAGAAGAUGGGCUACGUCGCCCUGGACUUCGAGCCGGAGAUGGCCACCGCCGUGUCCUCCUCCUCCCUGGAGAAGAGCUACGAGCUGCCCGACGGCCGGGUGAUCACCAUCGGCCACGAGCGGUUCCGCUGCGCCAGCCUCUCUUCCAGCCUUCCUUCCUGGGCAUGGAAUCGUGAGGCAUCCACGAAAGCAACUUCAGCUCCAUCUUGAAGGGUGAUGUGGACAUCCGCAAGGAGCUGGACGCCACACGGUGCCGCCCAGCGGUACCACCAUGUACCCAGGCAUCGCUGACAGGAUGCAGGAGAUCACUGCCCUGGCGCCCAGCACGAUGAAGAUCAAGAUCCUCGUACCCCCUGAGCGCAGGUACUCCGUGUGGAUUGGCGGCUCCAUCCUGGCCUCGCUGUCCACCUUCCAGCCGAUGUGAAUCAGCAAGCCGGAGUACGACCAGUCCGGCCCCUCCAUCAAGCACCGCAAGUGCUUCUAG